CUCAGGAGUGAGCACCAGGCACUGAGCAUUCAAACCCGUCAUCUAUAAUAAUAUUAAUAUAAAACUGAUUGAAAGUGACUGCUUUCGUUCUUUGAAUGAUGGCCUGCCUGUUCACAACUCAUUAAUAUAUGUACAUGCAAAAUUGUAAAGCACUCUGUUUGAAUUUUCAAGGAAGAAUUUGUCAAUUUGAGUAUUUGUAAACAGUUUUUCGCCUCUGGUACUUUUGCAUAUUUCCACAUUAAAGACAUUUCACUGCAAGUGCACAUAGUCCAUAUAUCUGUAAUUUUAAACUUCAUACUGUUUUGUACACAUGCAGCUGUUGCAGUGUUUCAGGUAUAACAUGCUAGUCACUACAAGUUCCCUCUCUGAUAUAAAGAGUUGUGAUGUACUGGUACCGUAAACUUGCGACUAUAAGCCACCCCCCACCCCCGAAUAUAAGCCC